rnacentral:rRNA from 1 species
GAGUUUGAUCAUGGCUCAGAUUGAACGCUGGCGGCAGGCCUAACACAUGCAAGUCGAGCGGCAGCACGGGGAGCUUGCUCCCUGGUGGCGAGCGGCGGACGGGUGAGUAAUGCAUGGGAAUCUGCCCGGUAGUGGGGGAUAACCCGGGGAAACCCGGGCUAAUACCGCAUACGUCCUACGGGAGAAAGCAGGGGAUCUUCGGACCUUGCGCUAUCGGAUGAGCCCAUGUCGGAUUAGCUUGCUGGUGAGGUAACGGCUCACCAGGGCGACGAUCCGUAGCUGGUCUGAGAGGAUGAUCAGCCACACCGGGACUGAGACACGGCCCGGACUCCUACGGGAGGCAGCAGUGGGGAAUAUUGGACAAUGGGGGAAACCCUGAUCCAGCCAUGCCGCGUGUGUGAAGAAGGCUUUCGGGUUGUAAAGCACUUUCAGCGGGGAAGAAGGCAUGGCGGCUAAUACCCGCCAUGAAGGACAUCACCCGCAGAAGAAGCACCGGCUAACUCCGUGCCAGCAGCCGCGGUAAUACGGAGGGUGCAAGCGUUAAUCGGAAUUACUGGGCGUAAAGGGCGCGUAGGCGGCCUGCCAAGCCGGAUGUGAAAGCCCCGGGCUCAACUCGGGAACGGCAUUCGGAACUGGCAGGCUAGAGUGCAGGAGAGGAAGGUGGAAUUCCCGGUGUAGCGGUGAAAUGCGUAGAGAUCGGGAGGAAUACCAGUGGCGAAGGCGGCCUUCUGGACUGACACUGACGCUGAGGCGCGAAAGCGUGGGUAGCAAACAGGAUUAGAUACCCUGGUAGUCCACGCCGUANACGAUGUCGACCAGCCGUUGGACCCCCUGAGGGUCUGGUGGCGCAGUUAACGCAAUAAGUCGACCGCCUGGGGGAGUACGGC